rnacentral:rRNA from 1 species
GUUGCCUACGGGGCGCAGCAGUGGGGAAUAUUGGUCAAUGGCCGAGAGGCUGAACCAGCCAAGUCGCGUGAGGGAUGACGGCCCUACGGGUUGUAAACCUCUUUUGCCGGGGAGCAAGCCUGAGCACGUGUGCCCAGGCGGAGAGUACCCGGAGAAAAAGCAUCGGCUAACUCCGUGCCAGCAGCCGCGGUAAUACGGAGGAUGCGAGCGUUAUCCGGAUUUAUUGGGUUUAAAGGGUGCGCAGGCGGGCUGUUAAGCCGGCGGUAAAAAUUCAGGGCUCAACCCUGUCGAGCCGUCGGACCUGG